UACGGAGGGCGCGAGCGUUGUUCGGAGUCAUUGGGCGUAAAGGGUGCGUAGGCGGCGUGGCAAGUCUGGUGUGAAAGCCCGGGGCUCAACCCCGGAACUGCAUUGGAUACUGCCAUGCUAGAGUACUGGAGAGGAGAUUGGAAUUUACGGUGUAGCAGUGAAAUGCGUAGAUAUCGGAAGGAAGACCAGUGGCGAAGGCGAAUCUCUGGACAGUUACUGACGCUGAGGCACGAAGGCCAGGGGAGCAAACGGG
rnacentral:rRNA from 1 species